UUUUGGGCUGCAAGGAGGCAGUUAGCACAGGGAACUAUGUAGUGAGGGACAUGGAGACUAAACAGCAGCUGGCCCAUCUCUCUGGUUUCUCAUGGCCAAGCCUGGGACACACAGCUGCCCUCGUGCAGGUCCAGAACUAUGGCACUUGUUCCCUCAGGACCCAUCCUCAAAGCCAGUGACUUGGUCUUUUCCUAUGACAAAGGAGCUCCCAGAAUGUGGCAGUCCCCCUUCCUAGAGGGAGAAUCUGACUGGGUCAGGGAGGCACCUCCGGUUUGCAGAGCCCCCAUUGGUCAGGUUCAGUUUCCAAAACACCUGAGGGGCAAGUGGCUUCUCGAAGUCCAGCCCACAUGGUUACUUUUGACUUGGACACUCAAGGCACAGGGACACAUGACACAGGCACAGGGUGUGACAACUGCAUGCAGAAAGAGCCACUCUCAUUCCUCAGAAGAGGCUGUGGAGAUGAGUGGCUGAGCCAUGUGCCCCAAAAUUCAUGUUGAAGUCCUAACCCCCAGUAUCUUAAAAUGUGACCGUAUUUAGAGAUAGAACCUUUAAAGAGCUAACUGGGUUAAAAUGAAUUCAUUAGGGUAGGCCGUACUUCAGUAUGACUGCUGUCUUUAGCAGAAGAAGAAAUCAGGGUACAGACACGCAGAGGGGAGGGCAUGUGAGGACAUGGGAAGGAAAUGCCACUUGCAAGCCAAUGAGAGAGGCCUCAGAAGAAACCAGCCCUCCUGACACCUUGAUCCUAGACUUCCAGCCUCCAGAACUGUAAGAAAAUACAUUUCUGUUGUUUAAGCCACAUGGUCUUAGAGUUCUAUCUUGAAUUUCUCUCUGCUUCAGACUUUUCUGUUUUGUUUUUUAGCCUAAAUCCUAUUGAAAAGAGCAGAGAAGAUAGAGUGCAGGCCCCUAGAGACAGGAUGGAACGAAACACGCAGUGUGUGUCUGUGUCCUGCUCAGCAUACGCUCUUGGUCCCCACUGGGCCAUCUCGCUGCUGACUGGCAUCCCGAAGAACAGGCAGAUUGCACAGGGGCAGCUCUUUCCUCCAAAGCUGCAAUGUGAUGCAUGAAGUCCUCAGAUUUGGGAACUCAUACAGGCACUUGAGCUCAAACAUACAGUUCUGAUCUAAGACAUCACAGGUAAGAAUAUCCAAAAAGGUGAGCUUUCCCCCUGGAAACCAUGACUUCCUCAGAAACAAGGAGAAAUGUUUCAGCUGCCCAGGUUGCAGUUCCGAGUAUGGAGGCUUCCAUGUUUCAUGUCAGGGUCAUGGUGGAGCUGUUUCAGCUGCAGGUGGUAUUCCACCAUUUGGUCCUCCCUGAUGUCUCCUGGCACCUUUCCUUCUUCAGUCUCACCACUCUGAAGAAGCGUGCUUGUAAGCGCCGCGGGACGAUCCAGGACGUCCAGGAUUGUGGACGAUCCUGUUCUUCCCAUCUGUGAGGUAAGGCAGAUUAGGAAUGUCCACAUCUAGCUUGAAUUUCACAUCCAGCCAUUGGCUGCCACCAUGGCCAAGGGCUCCUGCAGAUGGAUCACCGUUUCCCUCCCAGGAGCAGGCAGGUGUCCAGUAUCAGCCCCAGAACAUCCCGGUCACCCAUCUCCAUAGGGCUUGGAUGACAUGAUGAUGCUCUCUGUGCCUCUGAGGAUGGCACCUUGGGUCUUUGUACGCUAAAUCCCACCUUGUCCUCUCCUCUAUUUGAAACAGCCAUUUCCCAAAUCCCAAUCUGAUGAAAUCCUGUUCCUCCUUCCCUCAUGUUUCUCUAGGCCUCCUGUGGACUCCCAGAAUGUAAAGUCAGCAUUCCCUUGAGCCUUUUGGGGACUUAAAAGCACAUGGCCCAAGGUCCACCUAACUCCAGGUGUAUCCUGUAGAACCAGUAUUCUAAUCCUAAUUUUAAAGAUCUUACAGGACCACAGGGUGUGCGUAAAAAGCCUGCUGCAAAUCAGAGUGCUUCAAUUGAGUAUUAAUGAGAUGGAGGAAAGAGGCUGUGAGUGCAGACAAUGAGUCCCUGAGUAAAUAGACUCCAGAGCCAAAGGUGUUCUCCACACCAAAAGAAUGACUGUACCCAGGGAAGGAGCUCACACUCACCUGGACAAACCCUGAGGGGACAGCCAUGUCCCAGUGUGGCUAGGAGGGUCUGGAGCUGGGCACGUCCCCCAUGUCUGCUUGAUUCCCCUCCGGCCGAGUUCUACUCAGGUGAGUUGUGCUCAUUCUUGCUUCCCCAGGGCCUGGAUCACAGUUCCUCAAGCUUUGGGAUACAAACGAAUCACCUGGGAUUUGGAUAAAAUGCAGAUUCGUGUUCAGCAGCCCUGGCAUUCUGCAUUUCUCAUGAGCUCCAGGAAGAUGCUGGCGCUGCUGGGGCAGGACCACACUUUGGGUGGCAAGGGCUUGGCAGGCAAUUCCAGGUGUCACCCUAGAGAUGGCCUGCUAUUGCACUGUCAGUAGGUAGCUGCCACAGUGACGGCCGCUCCAGAUCAAGGGGAGAACCUUUUGAAAAGGGUCCUUGAAUCAUUUGGGAAAUAAAUCAAGCCAUAUGAGUAAAAAGCCAUAUGAGUAAAAAGUAAUCAAAAAUAUGUUGAAUAUUGGAACCAGAGGAAAUCUUAGCAUCAUUUUGUAAUGACUCCCUCCACGAAUUUUCCAGAUAAGGAAACUGACAAAGCCAGGUGGCCUGUGGCUGAGGAGCGAGACGGUCAGCGAGGUCUCCCUGCUGCACUCCCGUGCACUUCCACAGUGAAACCCUGCUGAGAGACACAGGAAAUGUUGAACAUAGUAUCUUUAAAAUUAAGACCAUGACUGCCCUAAACAUUUACAAAGCACAAACCAUGAGAAAAAAGCCUGUACCAGAAAUCAGAAGAUGGCUUUUGUCCAUGUGCAACCUUGGACAAGUUAAUUACUUAUCGCUGCUCUCUGAGCCUGUUUCCCCACUGGUUACCGAAAAAAUAGAAAAGGAUAUGCCUGCCCUUCCUAAUUCACAGGGCAUCGCAGGGAGGUAGGUAGUUAAUAUGCUGAACCACUUCAAAACGGUGGAGCUGAACUCACAGCAGGAACCCUGUCACACCUUUCCAUGACAAGGAUAUCGGUGGGGUGAGGGAGGUGGGGAGAGGCAUGAGGAUGGGAGACAAAGGAGUGGGGUGGGGGGCGGGGGAAGGAGGAAGCCAGAAGGACAGGCCCAGGCUAGGCUCUGAAGUCAGCAGGUGAGCGAGGUAGAGAACUAGCAGCACACUGUCCAUGGAUAUUUGCGGUGAUGGAAAGGUACUGUAUCCAUGUUCUCCAAUAUGGCAGCCACUAGCCACAUGUGGCUAUCAAGCACUGGAAAUGUAGCUAGUGUGAUCGAGGAACUGAUCUUUAAUUUUUCUUUAGUUGUUAUUAAUUUCCGUUUAAAUAGCCACAUGUGGCCAGUGGCUUAUGUAGCAAAGAUCUAGAUCAUUUGUUUGAAGCAGUAAAAAGAGAAAUGUGAAUCCCCUCUUCUUACCUCCUAUAACAUGCUAAUUAACAUCACUGCAAUUAACUACCAUUCACAGCUCUUCAGCUGCUCUGUGGAACCUCAGCCCACUCUGAAAUGAACAGCCGCAGUGGCAGGGGUUACAGAAUGGGCUGGGAGUGGCAAUGUAGAUUCAUCUCUUCACACACUCUAUGCCCUCAAUCAAAAAUGCCUCAGGCUGUGUAAAAUUCCACAAAUAAUAAAGAGAUUUUAAAAAUAUG
rnacentral:lncRNA from 1 species